ACUAAGCGUACACGGUGGAUGCCCUGGCAGUCAGAGGCGAUGAAGGACGUGCUAAUCUGCGAUAAGCGUCGGUAAGGUGAUAUGAACCGUUAUAACCGGCGAUUUCCGAAUGGGGAAACCCAGUGUGAUUCGUCACACUAUCAUUAACUGAAUCCAUAGGUUAAUGAGGCGAACCGGGGGAACUGAAACAUCUAAGUACCCCGAGGAAAAGAAAUCAACCGAGAUUCCCCCAGUAGCGGCGAGCGAACGGGGAGCAGCCCAGAGCCUGAAUCAGUGUGUGUGUUAGUGGAAGCGUCUGGAAAGGCGUGCGAUACAGGGUGACAGCCCCGUACACAAAAAUGCACAUACUGUGAGCUCGAUGAGUAGGGCGGGACACGUGGUAUCCUGUCUGAAUAUGGGGGGACCAUCCUCCAAGGCUAAAUACUCCUGACUGACCGAUAGUGAACCAGUACCGUGAGGGAAAGGCGAAAAGAACCCCGGCGAGGGGAGUGAAAAAGAACCUGAAACCGUGUACGUACAAGCAGUGGGAGCACGCUUAGGCGUGUGACUGCGUACCUUUUGUAUAAUGGGUCAGCGACUUAUAUUCUGUAGCAAGGUUAACCGAAUAGGGGAGCCGAAGGGAAACCGAGUCUUAACUGGGCGUUAAGUUGCAGGGUAUAGACCCGAAACCCGGUGAUCUAGCCAUGGGCAGGUUGAAGGUUGGGUAACACUAACUGGAGGACCGAACCGACUAAUGUUGAAAAAUUAGCGGAUGACUUGUGGCUGGGGGUGAAAGGCCAAUCAAACCGGGAGAUAGCUGGUUCUCCCCGAAAGCUAUUUAGGUAGCGCCUCGUGAAUUCAUCUCCGGGGGUAGAGCACUGUUUCGGCAAGGGGGUCAUCCCGACUUACCAACCCGAUGCAAACUGCGAAUACCGGAGAAUGUUAUCACGGGAGACACACGGCGGGUGCUAACGUCCGUCGUGAAGAGGGAAACAACCCAGACCGCCAGCUAAGGUCCCAAAGUCAUGGUUAAGUGGGAAACGAUGUGGGAAGGCCCAGACAGCCAGGAUGUUGGCUUAGAAGCAGCCAUCAUUUAAAGAAAGCGUAAUAGCUCACUGGUCGAGUCGGCCUGCGCGGAAGAUGUAACGGGGCUAAACCAUGCACCGAAGCUGCGGCAGCGACGCUUAUGCGUUGUUGGGUAGGGGAGCGUUCUGUAAGCCUGUGAAGGUGUGCUGUGAGGUAUGCUGGAGGUAUCAGAAGUGCGAAUGCUGACAUAAGUAACGAUAAAGCGGGUGAAAAGCCCGCUCGCCGGAAGACCAAGGGUUCCUGUCCAACGUUAAUCGGGGCAGGGUGAGUCGACCCCUAAGGCGAGGCCGAAAGGCGUAGUCGAUGGGAAACAGGUUAAUAUUCCUGUACUUGGUGUUACUGCGAAGGGGGGACGGAGAAGGCUAUGUUGGCCGGGCGACGGUUGUCCCGGUUUAAGCGUGUAGGCUGGUUUUCCAGGCAAAUCCGGAAAAUCAAGGCCGAGGCGUGAUGACGAGGCACUACGGUGCUGAAGCAACAAAUGCCCUGCUUCCAGGAAAAGCCUCUAAGCAUCAGGUAACAUCAAAUCGUACCCCAAACCGACACAGGUGGUCAGGUAGAGAAUACCAAGGCGCUUGAGAGAACUCGGGUGAAGGAACUAGGCAAAAUGGUGCCGUAACUUCGGGAGAAGGCACGCUGAUACGUAGGUGAAGCGACUUGCUCGUGGAGCUGAAAUCAGUCGAAGAUACCAGCUGGCUGCAACUGUUUAUUAAAAACACAGCACUGUGCAAACACGAAAGUGGACGUAUACGGUGUGACGCCUGCCCGGUGCCGGAAGGUUAAUUGAUGGGGUUAGCGCAAGCGAAGCUCUUGAUCGAAGCCCCGGUAAACGGCGGCCGUAACUAUAACGGUCCUAAGGUAGCGAAAUUCCUUGUCGGGUAAGUUCCGACCUGCACGAAUGGCGUAAUGAUGGCCAGGCUGUCUCCACCCGAGACUCAGUGAAAUUGAACUCGCUGUGAAGAUGCAGUGUACCCGCGGCAAGACGGAAAGACCCCGUGAACCUUUACUAUAGCUUGACACUGAACAUUGAGCCUUGAUGUGUAGGAUAGGUGGGAGGCUUUGAAGUGUGGACGCCAGUCUGCAUGGAGCCGACCUUGAAAUACCACCCUUUAAUGUUUGAUGUUCUAACGUGGACCCGUGAUCCGGGUUGCGGACAGUGUCUGGUGGGUAGUUUGACUGGGGCGGUCUCCUCCUAAAGAGUAACGGAGGAGCACGAAGGUUGGCUAAUCCUGGUCGGACAUCAGGAGGUUAGUGCAAUGGCAUAAGCCAGCUUGACUGCGAGCGUGACGGCGCGAGCAGGUGCGAAAGCAGGUCAUAGUGAUCCGGUGGUUCUGAAUGGAAGGGCCAUCGCUCAACGGAUAAAAGGUACUCCGGGGAUAACAGGCUGAUACCGCCCAAGAGUUCAUAUCGACGGCGGUGUUUGGCACCUCGAUGUCGGCUCAUCACAUCCUGGGGCUGAAGUAGGUCCCAAGGGUAUGGCUGUUCGCCAUUUAAAGUGGUACGCGAGCUGGGUUUAGAACGUCGUGAGACAGUUCGGUCCCUAUCUGCCGUGGGCGCUGGAGAACUGAGGGGGGCUGCUCCUAGUACGAGAGGACCGGAGUGGACGCAUCACUGGUGUUCGGGUUGUCAUGCCAAUGGCACUGCCCGGUAGCUAAAUGCGGAAGAGAUAAGUGCUGAAAGCAUCUAAGCACGAAACUUGCCCCGAGAUGAGUUCUCCCUGACCCUUUAAGGGUCCUGAAGGAACGUUGAAGACGACGACGUUGAUAGGCCGGGUGUGUAAGCGCAGCGAUGCGUUGAGCUAACCGGUACUAAUGAACCGUGAGGCUUAACC
rnacentral:rRNA from 8 species